UCUUCGCUUGCUUACCACAGUGCUGCCGUUAUUCAUGUUGUGAGUGUCCUUGUGAGCGUGAGCACAGAAAUCCACACAGGCUGUGACCCCAGAGAAAGGACGCCCCUCCCUCCUGCCCAGCCGGCAGUCAUCUCCUGUCGCCUCAUUUUCCACCUAUGAGAGGUGAAAGGGCAAUACAUGUCUACAGGGAGGCUGAAUAAGGUUUCAACCAACAGAAAUGUGAAGGUGUUUUCUAAAUGGUGAGGAGAUAACUGAUGCUAUGCCUCAGGAGCCAGUCUUUUGUACAGUGGGGCGAGGUCGCUGGCGAGAUUCUGAAGGUUGCUCUCUACCUUGUGCUCCUUAAAGCAAAACAGAGAUUUAUGAGUGUUGGGAUGAGAAUAAAAACUCUUGCCGUUCUCCCUACAUCGGACCAGUUCCUCACCUCCUCUGGGUAGUCUCCAAGCAGGCGAAACUUGCGUGGCACUUUGCUGCGGGCAAACUUACAGCCAUUGAAGUACAUACUCCAGGAGCAGCCAAAGGAAAAUGAAGCUCCACAGGUGUCUGGGUCUAAACCCUGGCACGCACACGUACGACUGUGGAAAUAGCGCGGCGGUAAGGAAAUACAGAAUCAAACACAGCUGGGAUGGAAGAGUGAAGAAGACUAGGUACUCACUCUUCAUUGAGGGCACAGCGCCGGCUGGUGGGGGAGCCGUAUUUAAGGAGGGUCUCUGUUAGCUCCUUGUAGAGAUGGUCAGCCACUGGCCGAGAGAUUCCCUCCCAGGCCAGGAUGAGGAUCACCAGCACGGCCGUGUCACAGUAGUGUCCAGGCCUCUGGCGGACCAAACACAGCAGCUUCUCCUCUUCACUGCCUCGCCGAAUCACCUGCAAGAUGAUGUGAAAACAUGCAAAUUAUAACAGACAGCACUGAAACACUCGCACACACAGCAAAAACAGAAUGCUUUUGUCCAUUAUGUUUUUAAAUAUGCUAAAAUCCUUAAUAUUACUUAUCACAUAUGAUAAAUGAUGUCCCAAUCUAUUCAAAAAGACGGAUUAUGAUAAAUGAUGAUGAUUAGUCUUUUUGAAAAGAUUGGGACUUGUGGUUGUGUCUUGCUUGAAGUUUAAAACUUCCACUUUCUUUUCUUUUGUUU